GUCUAUAGCCAUACCACCCUGAGCGUGACCGAUCUUGUCUGAUCCCAGAAGCUGACCAGGGUUAGGCCUGGUUAGUACUUGGAUGGGAGACCACCUGGGAAUACCGGGUGCUGUAGGCU
rnacentral:rRNA from 1 species